GUCUUCCCGGGCCCACCAUUUGCAUUUGCGAAUGAGGGUUAGGGAUGAUGGAAUAUGGCUGAUGCGGAAGUUGCCGAACCCGGGAUAUCCUGGGCGAUCGAGCUGAUGGGGCUGUAGCUCAGCUGGGAGAGCACCUGCUUUGCAAGCAGGGGGUCAGCGGUUCGAUCCCGCUCAGCUCCACCAAAUCGAUUGGUGUUGAAGCUGACGGCGUUUGUCUUUUGAAGAAAAUAAAAGUUUGCAUCGGCUUAUGGCCUGAUGCCUGUUCUGCAUACAUUGUGAAGAGAAGAUUGAUCUGGAGGCUUCCAGGUGUCGGGUUUUACCCGAUGUCCGAGCCCAGUUCUUGUGAAACCAUGGAUGGCCUAGCCGGCCGGAUGUGGUGGAGGGACUGGAGGUAGGAAGGAAGCUUGUCGCUCUGGGUCGUUGUUGUUUGCUUGAUCUCUAGGGAUGAAGCAUCUGACGGACGGCUUGAUUACCGUUGCCUGACCGCGCGGUAUCGGAUCCAAUCUCGAGAAGCUGGUCUUAAGACAGGCUGCAAGUGGGCUGCUCGGCGUAGCUCCAAUAAAGCAGACCUGUCGAACACGUCGAUGGCAUUGUUGGAUUGACUGGGUUGUAAAAGGUAACCCGGUCUGUUGUCGUUUCUUCGAAACGAGCAACGAGAUGAUGAGCAUUGGCAAUGAGAACGAUUAAGUGUCGUAAGGGCAUUUGGUGGAUGCCUUGGCAUGCACAGGCGAUGAAGGACGUGAUACGCUGCGAAAAGCCGUGGGGAGCUGCGAAUGAGCUUUGAUCCAUGGAUCUC
rnacentral:misc_RNA from 1 species